GACUGUGUGGCUUAAAGGAUAAGGCAUCUGAUUUUGGGUCAGAAGAUAGACAGGUCAAGUUCCUUUACAGUUG
rnacentral:tRNA from 1 species